UACGUAGGUGGCAAGCGUUGUCCGGAUUUACUGGGCGUAAAGGAUGCGUAGGCGGAUGUUUAAGUGAGAUGUGAAAUACCCGAGCUCAACUUGGGUGCUGCAUUUCAAACUGGAUAUCUAGAGUGCAGGAGAGGAAAGCGGAAUUCCUAGUGUAGCGGUGAAAUGCGUAGAGAUCAUGAGGAAGACCAGUGGCGAAGGCGGGUCUCUGGACAGUUCCUGACACUGAGACACGAAGGCCAGGGGAGCAAACGGG
rnacentral:rRNA from 1 species